GAAUCAUGAUAACUAGUCGAAUCGACAGGCCUUGUGCCGGCGAUGGCUCAUUCAAAUUUCUUCCCUAUCAACUUUCGAUGUUUGGGUAUUGGCCAAACAUGGUGGCAACGGGUAACGGAGGGUUAGGGCUCGACCCCGGAGAAGGAGCCUGAGAAACGGCUACUACAUCCAAGGAAGGCAGCAGGCGCGCAAAUUACCCAAUCCCGACACGGGGAGGUAGUGACAAUAAAUACUGAUACAGGGCUCUUUUGGGUCUUGUAAUCGGAAUGAGUACAAUUUAAAUCCCUUAACGAGGAACAAUUGGAGGGCAAGUCUGGUGCCAGCAGCCGCGGUAAUUCCAGCUCCAAUAGCGUAUAUUAAAGUUGUUGUGGUUAAAAAGCUCGUAGUUGAACCUUGGGCCUGGCUGGCCGGUCCGCCUCACCGCGUGCACUGGUCCGGCCGGGCCUUUCCCUCCGCGGAACCCCAUGCCCUUCACUGGGUGUGGCGGGGAACCAGGACUUUUAC
rnacentral:rRNA from 1 species